rnacentral:rRNA from 1 species
AUUGAACGCUGGCGGCAUGCCUUACACAUGCAAGUCGAACGGUAACAGGUCUUCGGAUGCUGACGAGUGGCGAACGGGUGAGUAAUACAUCGGAACGUGCCCGAUCGUGGGGGAUAACGAAGCGAAAGCUUUGCUAAUACCGCAUAAGAUCUACGGAUGAAAGCAGGGGACCGCAAGGCCUUGCGCGAACGGAGCGGCCGAUGGCAGAUUAGGUAGUUGGUGGGAUAAAAGCUUACCAAGCCGACGAUCUGUAGCUGGUCUGAGAGGACGACCAGCCACACGGGGACUGAGACACGGCCCAGACUCCUACGGGAGGCAGCAGUGGGGAAUUUUGGACAAUGGGCGAAAGCCUGAUCCAGCCAUGCCGCGUGCAGGAUGAAGGCCUUCGGGUUGUAAACUGCUUUUGUACGGAACGAAAAGACUCUUUCUAAUAAAGAGGGUCCAUGACGGUACCGUAAGAAUAAGCACCGGCUAACUACGUGCCAGCAGCCGCCGUAACAC